GACGAAGGAUGCAAGCGUUAUCCGGAUUCAUUGGGUUUAAAGGGAGCGUAGGUGGCCUUAUAAGUCAGUGGUGAAAUCUCUGGGCUUAACCCAGAAAUUGCCAUUGAUACUGUAGGGCUUGAGUACAGUUGCUGUGGGCGGAAUAUGACAUGUAGUGGUGAAAUACAUAGAGAUGUCAUAGAACACCGAUUGCGAAGGCAGCUCACAAAACUGUAACUGACACUGAGGCUCGAAAGUGCGGGGGAUCAAACAGG
rnacentral:rRNA from 1 species